rnacentral:tRNA from 2 species
GCCGAGGUGGUGAAAUUGGUAGACGCGCUGGAUUCAAAAUCCAGUUCUCUUCGGAGAGUGUGGGUUCGAGCCCCACCCUCGGUACUA